GUUUAAGUGGAGGCUUGCGGGAGGAGGAGCGAGCUGCAAAGCGGGUACUCGAGCCGCGGGGAUGGGGUGGCAAGAGGAAUGAGGAAGUCGUGGCGAGAUGGGAAGAGCAGCGCAGAACCCUGCGUGUUUCUAAACCAAUCUGCUCUUCCAUUUAGCUCGGUUGGCAUGUGGAGAGGCUAAUACUGCUUACCGGCCCCCGCUGUGAGGACCUGGAAGAAUUACCUACGGUAACAGCGCUAUUAUCCGGUGAAGAUAAGAAGUGAUGAGAAAGACCAAAAGCUACCUUACUGUCACUUAAUUUCUUGGAAUACGGAUCUUUUGGUUAAACAAGCUAUGAUACAGCUUUUAAGUAGCACUAAAUGAAUGAGUCACUUUUUUCCUGGGAUCUUGGAUGACUGAAGUUACAGAUCAAAUAUGACUGCUCCCUGUUUAAACCAAAGGUCACUGCUGUAAGAGCUUUAGAAGGAACCUCAGAGUCCCAGAGUCAAAGGGUAAACACGAGCAGAUGAAAACCCAAGAUACUAGGAGAGAACAAGAUUCCCUGAGACUCUGGUGUGUAGCUGAAGAUGUUGUGACGUGUGUCCCACUCUGCAGCCUGGUAAAGGGGCGAGGAAUCCCAGGAAUUGGUACUAAAAAGAAAGAAGACUGAGGCCUAUGGAAAGGAUUCUUGGGAAGCUGUUUGUUGCCUGAGAAAGGACUCUAAGGUGGGAGAGAGUGACCCAUGUUCCUAGAAGACAAAGCACUCCAUUAAAAAAAAAAAAAAAAAAAAAAAA